AGAACAGUUAGGCAAGGUACUUCGGGUAAUUUGUGCCAAGUAUAUAAAUGCCAUGCUAACCUCCAUUUGCACAGACAAUGGCAUUCAUGGAUCCCUUCCUCAAUCCUUGGUACUGGAGAAACAAUUAGCCCUCACCAGGCACAACCUAUUCAUACUGUGCAUUUCCCUCUUGAAGUGAGCGACCCAAGAAUAGGCCCUUGCCUGAUGUCUUUGUGGAGGCCAUCUCACUUCUGGAACAAAGCUUGGCACCUACUAUUUGCAGAACAAGUUGAGCAAACGAAGGACCGGAGUUUUGUAGUUUCUUGGCCAAGGCCUCUGAUCUUUAUGCUGUCUUCUGUCUCAUAUGAGCUCCAGGCCUCCAUGGCCACCCACAUGACAGAUUUCUGUUGCCUGGGAGAAUGCUGUCUGUUUCACUGGCUUUUAUAUUCAGCACAACUGAACAUGGCAUUUGAGAGACAGCAAUUGCUCAGGGUGGAACUGGAGAGGAAGAAUCCAGGAAAGCACUGAACAUCUGACCAAAAUUUGAGGAGAGGAAAAGAGCUAGAAGUUUGCAGUUCUGCAAGCACGGAGUUUGGCUGACAGCAUUAGCAAUCAUUUUUUAAGUGCUCAGUUUCUCUUUUUCUCCCACUCAUUUUCCUUAGGAAACUGAUAGACCAUUCUUUCAUAUUCUGUUCCAGGGACUGUCCACAUGAAAGGAAAGGGUAUGUGGUCAGCUAGUUGGAAUAAUUGGGGAGUCGAGAAAAUGUCAUACAUAGAGAGAGCAAAUAUGAAACAAGCAUUUAAAGUAUGUUCUUAUUUAAUGAAGUCUAAAUACCUUCUCCC
rnacentral:lncRNA from 1 species